rnacentral:rRNA from 1 species
UACGUAGGCAGCGAGCGUUGUUCGGGAUGUUACUGGGCGUAAAGGGUGUGUAGGCGGCCUAUUAAGUUUGGUGUGAAAUCUCCCGGCUCAACCGGGAGGGUGCGCCGAAAACUGGGAGGCUAGAGUGCGGGAUGGGAGAGUGGAAUUCCUGGUGUAGCGGUGAAAUGCGUAGAUAUCAGGAGGAACACCGGUGGUGCAGACGGCUCUCUGGACCGUAACUGACGCUGAGACACGAAAGCGUGGGUAGCAAACAGG